CAAAUCAUCGGCUACACACGUAGGGCUGUUGCGCUGAAUGUUCUCGGACAGGGGUUCAAUUCCCCUCACCUCCACCA
rnacentral:tmRNA from 1 species